UGCAGAAGUCUUAGCAGAGUCCACGAGAGCACCAGCAGUAAGAAAUACCAAUCUGUUGACUCAAAUGUAAUAUAGCACAUGCUGCACUCCAGAGGGGUUGUGUUUCUGACCUAUUUACUAUGGUAUGGAAUUCUGUAGUGACUGCAAAUCAAAUGGGCAAUACACAGAGGCAACAGUUCCUGGAGGUCAGAAAGCUGAGGUGGCACAUGGGAGACAAGAAGGGAAUGUGAAAAAGAAGAGAAUGGUGAAAUCAUGUGGGUUACCUGGAUAUGUCCUUCAUAUACUUUUCAACAUGCAAGAAAACUCAAGUUCCGACCUACAAAGAAAAGUUUUG
rnacentral:lncRNA from 1 species